rnacentral:rRNA from 1 species
UACGAAGGGGGCUAGCGUUGCUCGGAAUCACUGGGCGUAAAGGGUGCGUAGGCGGGUCUUUAAGUCAGGGGUGAAAUCCUGGAGCUCAACUCCAGAACUGCCUUUGAUACUGAGGAUCUUGAGUCCGGGAGAGGUGAGUGGAACUGCGAGUGUAGAGGUGAAAUUCGUAGAUAUUCGGAAGAACACCAGUGGCGAAGGCGGCUCACUGGACUGGUAUUGACGCUGAGGUGCGAAAGCGUGGGGAGCAAACAGG